rnacentral:misc_RNA from 1 species
UUUCCAACAUCAACACUCUUUGGCAAAGCAUCCAAGAAAUACUCUGCACUUUCAGGUUCAAACUUGAGUUCCUGGUUCUCAAUUAUGGAAGUAUCCUUUGAUCCAGAACCAAGAACAUGUACAAGUUUUACUGUCAGAGGAGGUGCAUUUGAACCGAGCACAGUGUUCACCUUAACCUUAAGAGUGUCCUUCUUAGUCAGUGAAAGCACAGUUGCUGGAAGUGAUAGAAUCAGAGGGAUGGAAAACCUAUUGCUCUCCAGGCAAGCCAAGGAGUCCACUUGAUUGAAUAUAUCUUUAGCAUCACCAGGAACACCAAUGCCCAGGAAAAACUUAGCCAAACCCACAAUUUUGUCACCUGGAAGAUUCAAG